GCCUUUACUACACGUUUAUAUUGUUUUUUUUUUAUUAUCUAAUACGUGUAGCAUAAGUAGUAAUCUUUUAGAUCUUUACUCUAGUAAAUUGUUUAGAUAUCCUUGAAAUACCACUAUUAUUAUCAAAAAUAUCUAAUAUUUUCUUUAAUAGACAGUGUAUGGUUGGUAGUUUGACUGGAGCGGUCACUUACUAAAGAGUAAGGAAGUGUACAAAGUCGAAUUAGCCAACGCUUGAGCAAAGAGAAGCCA
rnacentral:ncRNA from 1 species